GGUUAAGCGACUAAGCGUACACGGUGGAUGCCCUGGCAGUCAGAGGCGAUGAAGGACGUGCUAAUCUGCGAUAAGCGUCGGUAAGGUGAUAUGAACCGUUAUAACCGGCGAUUUCCGAAUGGGGAAACCCAGUGUGUUUCGACACACUAUCAUUAACUGAAUCCAUAGGUUAAUGAGGCGAACCGGGGGAACUGAAACAUCUAAGUACCCCGAGGAAAAGAAAUCAACCGAGAUUCCCCCAGUAGCGGCGAGCGAACGGGGAGGAGCCCAGAGCCUGAAUCAGUGUGUGUGUUAGUGGAAGCGUCUGGAAAGGCGUGCGAUACAGGGUGACAGCCCCGUCCACAAAAAUGCACAUAUUGUGAGCUCGAUGAGUAGGGCGGGACACGUGGUAUCCUGUCUGAAUAUGGGGGGACCAUCCUCCAAGGCUAAAUACUCCUGACUGACCGAUAGUGAACCAGUACCGUGAGGGAAAGGCGAAAAGAACCCCGGCGAGGGGAGUGAAAAAGAACCUGAAACCGUGUACGUACAAGCAGUGGGAGCCUCUUAAUGGGGUGACUGCGUACCUUUUGUAUAAUGGGUCAGCGACUUAUAUUCUGUAGCAAGGUUAACCGAAUAGGGGAGCCGAAGGGAAACCGAGUCUUAACUGGGCGUUAAGUUGCAGGGUAUAGACCCSAAACCCGGUGAUCUAGCCAUGGGCAGGUUGAAGGUUGGGUAACACUAACUGGAGGACCGAACCGACUAAUGUUGAAAAAUUAGCGGAUGACUUGUGGCUGGGGGUGAAAGGCCAAUCAAACCGGGAGAUAGCUGGUUCUCCCCGAAAGCUAUUUAGGUAGCGCCUCGUGAAUUCAUCUCCGGGGGUAGAGCACUGUUUCGGCAAGGGGGUCAUCCCGACUUACCAACCCGAUGCAAACUGCGAAUACCGGAGAAUGUUAUCACGGGAGACACACGGCGGGUGCUAACGUCCGUCGUGAAGAGGGAAACAACCCAGACCGCCAGCUAAGGUCCCAAAGUCAUGGUUAAGUGGGAAACGAUGUGGGAAGGCCCAGACAGCCAGGAUGUUGGCUUAGAAGCAGCCAUCAUUUAAAGAAAGCGUAAUAGCUCACUGGUCGAGUCGGCCUGCGCGGAAGAUGUAACGGGGCUAAACCAUGCACCGAAGCUGCGGCAGCGACGCUUAUGCGUUGUUGGGUAGGGGAGCGUUCUGUAAGCCUGCGAAGGUGUGCUGUGAGGCAUGCUGGAGGUAUCAGAAGUGCGAAUGCUGACAUAAGUAACGAUAAAGCGGGUGAAAAGCCCGCUCGCCGGAAGACCAAGGGUUCCUGUCCAACGUUAAUCGGGGCAGGGUGAGUCGACCCCUAAGGCGAGGCCGAAAGGCGUAGUCGAUGGGAAACAGGUUAAUAUUCCUGUACUUGGUGUUACUGCGAAGGGGGGACGGAGAAGGCUAUGUUGGCCGGGCGACGGUUGUCCCGGUUUAAGCGUGUAGGCUGGUUUUCCAGGCAAAUCCGGAAAACCAAGGCUGAGGCGUGAUGACGAGGCACUACGGUGCUGAAGCGACAAAUGCCCUGCUUCCAGGAAAAGCCUCUAAGCAUCAGGUAACAUCAAAUCGUACCCCAAACCGACACAGGUGGUCAGGUAGAGAAUACCAAGGCGCUUGAGAGAACUCGGGUGAAGGAACUAGGCAAAAUGGUGCCAGUAACUUCGGGAGAAGGCACAGCUGAUAUGUAGGUGAAGCGACUUGCUCGUGGAGCUGAAAUCAGUCGAAGAUACCAGCUGGCUGCAACUGUUUAUUAAAAACACAGCACUGUGCAAACACGAAAGUGGACGUAUACGGUGUGACGCCUGCCCGGUGCCGGAAGGUUAAUUGAUGGGGUUAGCGGUAACGCGAAGCUCUUGAUCGAAGCCCCGGUAAACGGCGGCCGUAACUAUAACGGUCCUAAGGUAGCGAAAUUCCUUGUCGGGUAAGUUCCGACCUGCACGAAUGGCGUAAUGAUGGCCAGGCUGUCUCCACCCGAGACUCAGUGAAAUUGAACUCGCUGUGAAGAUGCAGUGUACCCGCGGCAAGACGGAAAGACCCCGUGAACCUUUACUAUAGCUUGACACUGAACAUUGAGCCUUGAUGUGUAGGAUAGGUGGGAGGCUUUGAAGUGUGGACGCCAGUCUGCAUGGAGCCGACCUUGAAAUACCACCCUUUAAUGUUUGAUGUUCUAACGUUGGCCCGUAAUCCGGGUUGCGGACAGUGUCUGGUGGGUAGUUUGACUGGGGCGGUCUCCUCCUAAAGAGUAACGGAGGAGCACGAAGGUUGGCUAAUCCUGGUCGGACAUCAGGAGGUUAGUGCAAUGGCAUAAGCCAGCUUGACUGCGAGCGUGACGGCGCGAGCAGGUGCGAAAGCAGGUCAUAGUGAUCCGGUGGUUCUGAAUGGAAGGGCCAUCGCUCAACGGAUAAAAGGUACUCCGGGGAUAACAGGCUGAUACCGCCCAAGAGUUCAUAUCGACGGCGGUGUUUGGCACCUCGAUGUCGGCUCAUCACAUCCUGGGGCUGAAGUAGGUCCCAAGGGUAUGGCUGUUCGCCAUUUAAAGUGGUACGCGAGCUGGGUUUAGAACGUCGUGAGACAGUUCGGUCCCUAUCUGCCGUGGGCGCUGGAGAACUGAGGGGGGCUGCUCCUAGUACGAGAGGACCGGAGUGGACGCAUCACUGGUGUUCGGGUUGUCAUGCCAAUGGCACUGCCCGGUAGCUAAAUGCGGAAGAGAUAAGUGCUGAAAGCAUCUAAGCACGAAACUUGCCCCGAGAUGAGUUCUCCCUGACUCCUUGAGGGUCCUGAAGGAACGUUGAAGACGACGACGUUGAUAGGCCGGGUGUGUAAGCGCAGCGAUGCGUUGAGCUAACCGGUACUAAUGAACCGUGAGGCUUAACCUU
rnacentral:rRNA from 1 species